UCCGGCAUAGCUCAGCGGUAGAGCAGUAGACUGUUAAUCUAUUGGUCCCUGGUUCGAUCCCAGGUGCCGGAGCCA
rnacentral:tRNA from 3 species